rnacentral:lncRNA from 1 species
UAUCAAGUGGUAUCAGAUUUCCAGGUUGCUCGGUGAGAUUUUACAGUUUUUCGUAGUUUAGAUCGAGUCUGUUCUUCAUACCUAUAGUCCAUGAAAAAGCCAAAAAAAUUAGGGUUAGUUCAUCCCAUCCGAACCAAUCUGAGCCUUUGCAUAAUCUUUUCUGUAUUUGCUUUGUUGAAUUUGCGGUUGCAUCGUCGUGUCAAGUUGCUGGUCUUAGCGUCUAGUCUUUUAGAGUUUCGAGUUCUGUUCACAGGUUGUCACGUCGCCGCUGCCAUAUACCACCACCACAUAUUCACCGCCAAUCCGAAUCCAUAUACACCACCACAUAUCCGCCGCCAUCACGCUAAUCCGACUCCACCUGCAACAUAUAUCCGCCACCUGUCCGAGUUUCACCAGAUUCAUCUCCGCCACCAGUCCGAGUUCCACCAGAUUCAUCUCCGCCACCAGUCCUAGUCCGAGUCCAGUAAUUGUUGCAUUGUUCUCGAUUUCAAGAUCACGCGAUACUCCGAGUCGUGACAGCGGAGGACUCCCCAACUUCCGAGCCAUCCGCAAAAGAAAAAUAGUUCCAGUUUAAAAAAAAA